rnacentral:rRNA from 1 species
GACGAACGCUGGCGGCGUGCUUAACACAUGCAAGUCGAACGGAAAGGCCCUGCUUUUGUGGGGUGCUCGAGUGGCGAACGGGUGAGUAACACGUGAGUAACCUGCCCUUGACUUUGGGAUAACUUCAGAAACUGGGGCUAAUACCGGAUAGGAGCUCCUGCUGCAUGGUGGGGGUUGGAAAGUUUCGGCGGUUGGGGAUGGACUCGCGGCUUAUCAGCUUGUUGGUGGGGUAGUGGCUUACCAAGGCUUUGACGGGUAGCCGGCCUGAGAGGGUGACCGGCCACAUUGGGACUGAGAUACGGCCCAGACUCCUACGGGAGGCAGCAGUGGGGAAUAUUGCACAAUGGGCGGAAGCCUGAUGCAGCAACGCCGCGUGCGGGAUGACGGCCUUCGGGUUGUAAACCGCUUUCGCCUGUGACGAAGCGUGAGUGACGGUAAUGGGUAAAGAAGCACCGGCUAACUACGU